GUGCUCGCUUUGGCGGCACAUAUACUAAAACUGAAAUGACACAGAGAAGAUUAGCAUGGCCCCUGUGCAAGGAUGACACGUAAAAAUAAAUAAAUAAAUACAUAAAU